UAUGGAGAUGUCCUGUAGAGAAGGAAAAUUUUGUAAGAACAUUCAUAAUGAUGUCCCCAAGAUGCCCCUGCUGUGGAAACGCUACCUCUUCAUCUCAUUAUCGUUUGGUGCCACAAUCGUAUCAUGAUGAGCUCAGAGAAAUGAACAAGAACCAGGUGCCAGUGACACAGUGGGAAAUCCACUCAAGAAGACUUUGACAACUAACAAUGGAAGCCUACCUACACGGAAGCUGACUGGUGGCAUUUAUAGUGAGAAAAAUGUAUUAAAGUUUAAAGAUGUCAUGUAUGUUAACUGAUCGGUGUUGGUCAAAGGAACUAUGACCGGAGUCAUAUCUGGCUCAACAUAGACAUAAUGCCAAUAUUGACAAAAACCACUUGGGCCCCAAGUACCUUAAGGCCCACCUGAUCCCAGCUACAUCUACAUACCUAUAUUAGAAGGAAGAGUCUUGUUCCAUAUUCUGAUGCCUGCUGAAACUCGUUUUGUCAAGGAUGCAGAACAGGGCCUUUUUGGUUACUGCUCCACAGGCUGUGGAACUCACUAAAAGAUGAACUCCAUUUAGCUCCCUCACUCCCAGUCUUUCAGAGGCAACUGAUGAUGACUGCUUUUUCAUUUACACCUUUGGCCAUUUGGAAAGGACAAUAGAGCAAGGGGAAAGGAAAGAAACACCAUUCUGAAAUGUCUACUCAGCAAAGAAUAAGCUGACAAAGUCACCUCCAUCCUACAGGAGAACACUACAGCUGUUCAUUGUAGAUGAAGAGGAGCCUUCAGAUAUGCAGAACUUUACAAAAUCUUCUGAAACGGGACCCUCCUUGGAUCAUCAUUCUACCAGCAUCUGGAGACAUCUACCCUUUGCCUUCAUUAAAAGCAGUAACAGCAUGCCCCUUUCCAGAAUUUCCAGAAUAGAUGGGCAUACAGUUAUGAUAUCUGGCACACAUGAAGUCCACAUUGGCAGGAAUAUGUGUGUGCUUUUCUCUCUUUCUCUUUUUGCUUUUUUAAAAUAAAGCUAUUGGUAUUUUUGGUGGCUAAAAAUUGUGAAAUCUGGUUUGCUUCAAGCCAGAACCUUACAAAACAUUCUGGAUCUGAAACCCUCCCUAGGACCAUCAUUCCACCCCCAUGUGCAUGAAAACUAUCAUUCCUUUGA